rnacentral:piRNA from 3 species
UAUACUAUCAUAUCAUCUGCAAAUAG